ensembl:snRNA U6 U6 spliceosomal RNA
AGUCCGAUCCCCGGUACCAUAUACUAAAAUUGGAACGAUACAGAGAAGAUUAGCAUGGCCCCUGUGCGAGGAUGACAUGCAAAUUCAUGAAGCGUUCCAUAUUUUU